rnacentral:rRNA from 1 species
GUCCACGCCCUAAACGAUGUCAACUGGUUGUCGGGGAAGUUAUUCCUUGGUAACGAAGCUAACGCGUGAAGUUGACCGCCUGGGGAGUACGGCCGCAAGGUUAAAACUCAAAGGAAUUGACGGGGACCCGCACAAGCGGUGGAUUAUGUGGAUUAAUUCGAUGCAACGCGAAAAACCUUACCUACCCUUGACAUGUGCGGAAGGGGGUAGAGAUACCUCGGUGCCCGAAAGGGAACCGCAACACAGGUGCUGCAUGGCUGUCGU